UACGAAGGGUGCAAACGUUGCUCGGAAUCAUUGGGCGUAAAGCGCACGUAGGCGGCCUUGUAAGUCGGAUGUGAAAUCCCACGGCUCAACCGUGGACGUGCAUCCGAAACUGCUCGGCUCGAGUAUGGAAGAGGGUCGCGGAAUUCCCGGUGUAGAGGUGAAAUUCGUAGAUAUCGGGAGGAACACCAGUGGCGAAGGCGGCGACCUGGGCCAAUACUGACGCUGAGGUGCGAAAGCGUGGGGAGCAAACAGG
rnacentral:rRNA from 1 species